GAAGGGAAAUUUGCAGUCUCCCGUCUUUGUGAAUAGAGUGUUUUUUUUCCAGGCCUUCCAGAUGACUGCACUGAUUGACAGGGCUGUUUUUGCCACUCUUGCGUAUCCCAGCUUCUUACAGGGUAGCUGAAACACAGAAACAAAAAAUACAGCCUGCAAAAGUGACAAACACAGAUUAAGUAACAAAGGAGUUUGAAAGAGCAGCCAAGGCAAGAAGCCGGUAAGCAAAUUGUUCCCCCGUUCUGCAUCCCAUAACAAUGGAGAUAAUUUGCAGCCCUUUGCCAUCAUUAUUUUAAAGGCUUCCAGCUCUGGUAUUGAUCCUGUUGAUCUGAAGUUUUCAAUGGAAGAGUCCCAGUCGAUUAUUUUGCUUCAUAGUUCCUCCCCGCAGUUGGGACUGUAUUUGUCUUAAGUGUGGGGCAGUGAUGACAAGAUGCAGGUGUUGGUGGUGUGCCUGACCUGGUGUCCACCUGCUUCCUGCAUGCACCAGCACCCCUGGAAAUGAUCCCUCUCUUUCUGGGCCGUGAGGAGGAGCUAAGCCCACAUACAGGCAUGGCAUCCAACAUGGCACAUAUAUGUGUGCAAUACUCAGUGCACCAAACCCUAAGAUCCUUGACAUUGGAGAUGAAGAAAAUGAAGGUAGUCCAGUCACUAAGACCGUAAUUGCAUGGAGGGACAGAAAAUGGGUAUGGAGGUGUCAUAGCAGGUGGUAUGCAAAAUCCAGAGAUAUCAGGGUGAGAAAAUAAGGAAAUUGAGGCAGAAAAAAUGUUUUAGGAAAAAAAAAAAAGAAAAAAAAAAAAAGAAAAAAAUAUUUAUUUAUCUAUUUAUUUAUCUUAUUGUAUUUUUUUUUUCUUUUUCCUAUGGGAAGCUCCAAGACAUACAGUCUUGUGAUUGUGAGAGGGCAGAAUUCACAGACACAACAGAAUUUUACUUAACACUGAAGAUGUGGACUAGUGACUCACUGCAAUUUUUAAGAUGCCGGGCACCAUCACAGGGUGUCAGACACCUCUGCUGGAUGUCACCUCAUCAACCUGGGCAAUUUCUAGACAAAGCAGAGGAUUAUCUGCUGUAGCAUGAAUUGUGAGGAGAAGCAGAGUCCCAUCACCCUACCACGAAUGGAGACCACAGUGACAAGAAGAAUAUCUGCAGUCCUCCUUUGCUGAUCAGGGAUAGCCCAACAGAGAAUGUGUUUCUGCUUUCAUAGACACAUCAGUCCUUGGAAAUGGGGAGCCUUGGUAACCCUUUUGCUUGGAAAUGGCUAGGAAAUGGAGGUGAGGUGGCCCUAAGCCAUAUCUUCAGUUCUGAAAGAGCAGUGAAAAGAGGCAUCGAGCUCUGAGAGAUUUUCACAGUUUCUCUUUGAGCCCCUAAGCCUGACCCAACACAAAAAGCUUCAUGGUCUGGGAGGAAAGGCACAGAAUACCUGUGACCUGGGUUGCAAAGUGCCCUUCAGAUAUCGCUUCUUGUUGGACACAGGAGUGUGUUUCUGUGAUCCAGCAUCCUGAAAUGGAAGCCCAAAGCUCAGAUGAGAUUCUUAGACUAAUGUAAGACCAUACUUUUUUUUUUUUUUUUUUUAAUCAAAGACUUCUCUUAGUGACACUGGGCUGUAGAAGGGGAGCCAAGGCAGGGAAGGUCAACGAGGAAUGAUUCAUUAAGAGUGUUGAACAUAUCUGAAGAAAAGACAACCCUGGGGCUUGUUGUCUCCCUGAAUUUCAGAGGUUGAUGUGCCAGGAGGUGAGAGAGCUGCACAGCCCACAAAUCCUUCACUGGGCGCCAAGCUGCAUCAGGUCUUAUUUUUUCUUGCUGCCUGCAAAUGCAAGAGGGUAUUAAGCCCAUAUAACAAUUCCGUCCAGCUGCUGGGCAGCCUGCCACCUAAAGAAAGAGCAUGGUCAAUGUGCCUAACCUUAUCUGACAUGCUUGUCACCUUGUGGCUUUGCCAAAACUGUACUCUGCAGCCCUUCAGUGAUGCAGCCU
rnacentral:lncRNA from 1 species